rnacentral:rRNA from 1 species
GGCAUCGGGAAGAAAGCUUGCUUUCUUUGCCGGCGACCGGCGCACGGGUGAGUAACACGUAUCCAACCUGCCCUUUACUCGGGGAUAGCCUUUCGAAAGAAAGAUUAAUACCCGAUGGGAUAAUUAUUCCGCAUGGUUUGAUUAUUAAAGGAUUCCGGUAAAGGAUGGGGAUGCGUUCCAUUAGGUUGUUGGUGAGGUAACGGCUCACCAAGCCUUCGAUGGAUAGGGGUUCUGAGAGGAAGGUCCCCCACAUUGGAACUGAGACACGGUCCAAACUCCUACGGGAGGCAGCAGUGAGGAAUAUUGGUCAAUGGGCGCUAGCCUGAACCAGCCAAGUAGCGUGAAGGAUGAAGGCUCUAUGGGUCGUAAACUUCUUUUAUAUAAGAAUAAAGUGCAGUAUGUAUACUGUUUUGUAUGUAUUAUAUGAAUAAGGAUCGGCUAACUCCGUGCCAGCAGCCGCGGUAAUACGGAGGAUCCGAGCGUUAUCCGGAUUUAUUGGGUUUAAAGGGAGCGUAGGUGGACUGGUAAGUCAGUUGUGAAAGUUUGCGGCUCAACCGUAAAAUUGCAGUUGAUACUGUCAGUCUUGAGUACAGUAGAGGUGGGUGGAAUUCGUGGUGUAGCGGUGAAAUGCUUAGAUAUCACGAAGAACUCCGAUUGCGAAGGCAGCUCACUGGACUGCAACUGACACUGAUGCUCG